rnacentral:rRNA from 1 species
GAUGAACGCUGGCGGCGUGCUUAACACAUGCAAGUCGAACGGAGUGCUCAUGACAGAGGAUUCGUCCAAUGGAUUGAGUUACUUAGUGGCGGACGGGUGAGUAACGCGUGAGGAACCUGCCUUGGAGUGGGGAAUAACACAGUGAAAAUUGUGCUAACACCGCAUAAUGCAGUUGGGUCGCAUGGCUCUGACUGCCAAAGAUUUAUCGCUCUGAGAUGGCCUCGCGUCUGAUUAGCUAGUUGGUGGGGUAACGGCCCACCAAGGCGACGAUCAGUAGCCGGACUGAGAGGUUGGCCGGCCACAUUGGGACUGAGACACGGCCCAGACUCCUACGGGAGGCAGCAGUGGGGAAUAUUGGGCAAUGGGCGCAAGCCUGACCCAGCAACGCCGCGUGAAGGAAGAAGGCUUUCGGGUUGUAAACUUCUUUUCUCAGGGACGAAGCAAGUGACGGUACCUGAGGAAUAAGCCACGGCUAACUACGUGCCAGCAGCCGCGGUAAUACGUAGGUGGCAAGCGUUAUCCGGAUUUACUGGGUGUAAAGGGCGUGUAGGCGGGAUUGCAAGUCAGAUGUGAAAUCCGGCGGCUCAACCGUCGGCCUGCAGUUGAUACUGGUGGUCUUGAGUGCGCGCAGGGGCGUUGGAAUUCAUGGUGUAGCGGUGAAAUGCUCAGAUAUCAUGAAGAACUCCGAUCGCGAAGGCAGAUGCCCGGAGCGCAACUGACGUUGAGGCUCGAAAGUGCGGGUAUCAAACAGG